CCAUAGCCAUUCUGCCUUAAG
rnacentral:sRNA from 1 species